rnacentral:rRNA from 11 species
GAAUUUUGUAGAACUCCUUAUAACGAUAUAAGGUGAAAAUGGGAUGACGUCAAAUCUUCAUGGCCUUUAUGGAUUGGGCUACUCAUGUAGUACAAAAAUAGUAUCAAUAAGUUGCAAUAAUGAAAAUUGGAGCUAAUCUAGAAAAACUAUAAAAAUUCAAAUUGUUUUCUGAAACUUGAAAACAUGAAGUUGGAAUCAAUAGUAAUCGUUUAUCAGCAAGGAACGGUGAA